GUUUCCAUAGUGUAGUGGUUAUCAUUUAAGCCUUUACACCCCAAAAGGUCCCCAGUUCGAAACUGGGUGGAAACA
rnacentral:tRNA from 1 species